rnacentral:tRNA from 1 species
UGGAUAAUAGUUAAUUCAAUAACAUUUAAUUUGCAUUUAAAAAUAAUUUUUAUAAAUUUAUCUUU